rnacentral:lncRNA from 1 species
CUGAGUUUCCUCGACUGACUUCAAUGGACCUGUUUCUAGAGGGGCAUGAAGGUGGCUGUGACUUCAUAAGCAGAAUGGCAUGCACAAAAGCACGGAGGAACACUUUAUGCCAGUUGGAUUAUGGUCCAUUGGGAGAAAGAUCAAUUAAGGUGAAACCCCAGUAGAGAAAGCACUGGAGAACAACAUUCAUUCUUCCUUAAUAAAUCUUAGUUUUAAAUAUUUGCUUUGAGUUUUGUUCCAUUAAUAAAGAAAAUAAGAAGGAAAACCAGGAAUCCUGAAGUUGUUGAAUUGAAUUAAUGCUUGAUUC